rnacentral:rRNA from 1 species
UACGGGGGGGGCAAGCGUUGUUCGGAAUUACUGGGCGUAAAGGGCUCGUAGGCGGCCAACUAAGUCAGACGUGAAAUCCCUCGGCUUAACCGGGGAACUGCGUCUGAUACUGGAUGGCUUGAGAUUGGGAGAGGGAUGCGGAAUUCCAGGUGUAGCGGUGAAAUGCGUAGAUAUCGGGAGGAACACCUGUGGCGAAAGCGGCGCACUGGACCAUAACUGACGCUGAGGCGCGAAAGCUAGGGGAGCAAACAGG